rnacentral:lncRNA from 1 species
GAUAUGUCUAUAGGUGUAGAUGUGUCUAUAGGUGUAGAUGUGUCUAUAGGUGUAGAUGUGUCUAUAGGUGUAGAUGUGUCUAUAGGUGUAGAUAUGUCUAUAGGUGUAGAUAUGUCUAUAGGUGUAGAUAUGUCUAUAGGUGGAGAUAUGUCUAUAGGUGUAGAUGUGUCUAUAGGUGUAGAUAUGUCUAUAGGUGUAGAUAUGUCUAUAGGUGUAGAUACGUCUAUAGGUGGAGAUACGUCUAUAGGUGUAGAUACGUCUAUAGGUGUAGAUGUGGUGUGUGUAAUCAGAUGGUUGAGAGAGUGCAUAUGUAAUGUAAGUUACUACAGAAUGGACAAUAUUAUGUCUGCAAAACAGGGUUGAAAUGUCUCAAAAUAAAUCAAAUCAAAAUAGAUUUCUUGCCCUUUGUGCUGUUGUCUGUGCCCUAUAAUGUUUGUACCCUGUUUUGUGCUGCUACCAUUUUGUGCUGCUACCAUGUUGUGCUGCUGACAGGUUGUGUUGCUACCAUGUUGUUGUCAUGCUGUGUUGCUACCAUGCUGUGUUGUCAUGUGCUGCUGCCUUGCUAUGUUGUUGUCUUAGGUGUCACGUCCUGACCAGUAUUAGGGAUUAUUUGUAAUUGUAGUUUGGUCAGGACGUGGCAGAGGGUAUUUUGUUUAUGUGGUUCGGGGUGGUGGU